rnacentral:rRNA from 1 species
AUUGAACGCUGGCGGCAUGCCUAACACAUGCAAGUCGAGCGAAUGAAGGGAGCUUGCUCCUGGAUUCCGUUGCCGACGGGUGGGUAAUGCCUAGGAAUCUGCCCUGUCUUUGGGGAUAACGUCCCGUCACGGGCGCUGAUACCACAUCCGUUCAUAUAUAGAACCGGGUGGAUCUUCGGUCCUCGCGGGAUCUGAUGUGCCUAAUUGGGAUUACCAAGCCGGAUUAGCUAGUUGGUAAGGUAACGGCCUACCAAGGCGACGAUGCGUAGCUGACCUGAGAGGGUGAUCAGCCACACUGGAACUGAGACACGGUCCAGACUCCUACGGGAGGCAGCAGUGGGGAAUAUUGGGCAAUGGGCGAAAGCCUGAUCGAGCAACGCCGCGUGAGUGAAGAAGGUCUUCGGAUUGUAAAGCACUGUAAGUUGGGAGGAAGGGAAGUAAGUUAAUCCAUGGCUGUUUUGACGUUACCAAAAGAAUAAGCACCGGCUAACUUCGUG